CGGGCGUUAAGUUGCAGGGUAUAGACCCGAAACCCGGUGAUCUAGCCAUGGGCAGGUUGAAGGUUGGGUAACACUAACUGGAGGACCGAACCGACUAAUGUUGAAAAAUUAGCGGAUGACCUGUGGCUGGGGGUGAAAGGCCAAUCAAACCGGGAGAUAGCUGGUUCUCCCCGAAAGCUAUUUAGGUAGCGCCUCGUGAAUUCAUCUCCGGGGGUAGAGCACUGUUUCGGCUAGGGGGCCAUCCCGGCUUACCAACCCGAUGCAAACUGCGAAUACCGGAGAAUGUUAUCACGGGAGACACACGGCGGGUGCUAACGUCCGUCGUGAAGAGGGAAACAACCCAGACCGCCAGCUAAGGUCCCAAAGUCAUGGUUAAGUGGGAAACGAUGUGGGAAGGCCCAGACAGCCAGGAUGUUGGCUUAGAAGCAGCCAUCAUUUAAAGAAAGCGUAAUAGCUCACUGGUCGAGUCGGCCUGCGCGGAAGAUGUAACGGGGCUAAACCAUGCACCGAAGCUGCGGCAGCGACGCUGAUGCGUUGUUGGGUAGGGGAGCGUUCUGUAAGCCUGCGAAGGUGGCCUGUGAGGGUUGCUGGAGGUAUCAGAAGUGCGAAUGCUGACAUAAGUAACGAUAAAGCGGGUGAAAAGCCCGCUCGCCGGAAGACCAAGGGUUCCUGUCCAACGUUAAUCGGGGCAGGGUGAGUCGACCCCUAAGGCGAGGCCGAAAGGCGUAGUCGAUGGGAAACGGGUUAAUAUUCCCGUACUUGGUGUUACUGCGAAGGGGGGACGGAGAAGGCUAUGUUGGCCGGGCGACGGUUGUCCCGGUUUAAGCGUGUAGGUGUGUGUUCCAGGUAAAUCCGGUU
rnacentral:rRNA from 1 species